rnacentral:piRNA from 1 species
AAGAAAACUGAUUUAAUGAGCCUGAUCCAG